rnacentral:rRNA from 1 species
AACGAACGCUGGCGGCGCGCCUAAUACAUGCAAGUCGAGCGAGAAGACGUAGCAAUACGUUUGUAAAGCGGCGAACGGGUGAGGAAUACAUGGGUAACCUACCCUCGAGUGGGGAAUAACUAGCCGAAAGGUUAGCUAAUACCGCGUACGCUCCUUGGACUUCGGUUCAGGGAGGAAAGCGAUACCGUGGGUAUCGCGCUCUUGGAUGGGCUCAUGUCCUAUCAGCUUGUUGGUGAGGAACGGCUCACCAAGGCUUCGACGGGUAGCUGGUCUGAGAGGACGAUCAGCCACACUGGCACUGCGACACGGGCCAGACUCCUACGGGAGGCAGCAGUAAGGAAUAUUGCGCAAUGGGCGAAAGCCUGACGCAGCGACGCCGCGUGGGGGAGUGAAGGUCUUCGG